GCGGGAUUAGUUUAAUGGUAGAACGCGAACCUUCCAAGUUCGACGCAGGAGUUCGAUUCUCCUAUCCCGCA
rnacentral:tRNA from 1 species